CUCACGCACACAAACACGCACACACACAUUCCUCCAGUGACUGUCGCUAGUCAUCCUCUUGCUUCCAGAAAAGGACUUGCUUUUGGAUUUAGCUGCCGGUGCCUCCGGUCGACCAUAAUGUGAAGAGCUACUGUAAGCGGGCUUUAAACCGCGUAGGUUAUUGAUCGAACGCGUGACGGACUCAGGAUUCAACAGUUUAAUAAUACGACCGCUGCCUGACGAAUGACUCACACCGUUGACCUCAAGAGCAGUACAUGAGUCAUGACUUCAUGAAAAUAGAUGAUCAGGUAAUGCAACUGGAUUGACCCUUCUUGUGAAAACUGAGGAGGAAGGACAGAAAGGAAGAUACCACCAGCUUUAGCAAGAAAUGCUGCAGGCUGGCCAGGAGGAAGAGAUGGAGGAGAGCAGAGUGAGAGGCAGGAGAAAGUGGAAGGAGAGACAUAGGACAAAACUCACCGAGGGAGGAUAGCAGGAAAAGAGAAUAAGAGAUGGACAGAAACAGAAUGUGAUGGGGAGAGAUAAAGACUUAGAGACAUAUGGCUCAUUUCUGCUUUCAGUUGGACCUUGUGGUCCAAUCUAUUCAUAUACAUUCCAGUACAAUAACAGUUAGUAAAAUGGUAAUUGGCUAUUUUCUGUCAUCAUUUGCCUAAAGAAGUGUGGGGACCCACACCCACUGCCCUCCACUGCCACCCUGCUGCCUACCCUGCUACCCACCACCCUGCUGCCCACCACCCUGCUGUCCACCACCCUGCUGCCCACCCUGUGAUCCCUGCCAUUGAUCAGAGAUAGUCUUUUAUUCAACGUUUCUUCCUUGUCAAAGCAUGGCACCUACAUCACCGACAAUGCAAAUUGACAAACAGACAGUUCGAUUAGUAGUAGCUAGUGUAGCCUGGAGCUGCUAGCCUCCAGCAGAGAUGAGGAGCGAGCUACAGAGGUCUGGUAACCUCACUGCUUUCUAACUCCACACCCCCAGAUUUUUUUACUUUUCAAACUUGUAAUCUUCAACCCCAACUGCCACUGACUCAAAGUUUAUUUAUUUAGCACAUUUCAUACACAAGGAAAUUAAAAGUGCUUUACAUAAUACAAAAGAAUAUAAGAACAAUGAAAAUAAAAGCAAGAAUAAAACAGGCAAGUAAAAUCAAUAGAACAGUAAAAUGCAUAAAAUUGCACCUUUAACAUUUAAUUAAAAGCCAUGGCAAACAGAUGUGUCUUCAAUUUAGAUUUAAAAGUAGACGCAUUGUCUCACGUCUUAGAUCUUCAGGUAGUUUGUGAGUGAGAAGCUAAAUGCAGUUUUACCAUGUUUAGUGCUAACUUUAGGAACCAGAGGCAGCUAUUUAGAACCUGAACUGAUCCUGAACCUUAGAUUUAUGGACAAGGAGUAAUACUUUAAAGGCAAUUCUUUGACACACUGGCAACCAGUGUAGUGAUUUGAGGUCUGGUGUAAUAUGCUCUGAUUUUUUUUGUGUUUGUUAGGACUCUAGCAGCGGUGUUCAACUGGAUCUACUUUUUUACAGAGACCUGAGAAAAGUCCAUCACAGUAGUCUAGUCUGCUGGAGACAAGAGCAACAGUUUCUCCAAAUGUUGUUUGUCUUAAGAUGUUGGAAUGCUGUUUUGUGACAGAUUUAAUGUGACUGCUGAAAUUUAGGUCUGAAUCUAAGACAACACAGAGGUGUCUAACCUGGUUUUUAUUCUGGAGAGAGAGGCUUCUUAUGUGAGCACAGACUUUAAGUCUCUCUUCUUCUGGUUUUAUCCUUUUUGGUGCAUCCAGUUACUGAUUUGCUCAAUGCACUGUUUCAGGUGAUCUAUUUGGCCAAUCUGGGAUAAUGGGAGCAUGUAGAGAUUAAAUAACCAACACAAACAACAGGAACAUUUUUUGUAUGCACUUCUGGCCUUCAGGAUAAAAGCUGAGAAUGUCACCAAUAUCUAGGCUCGAAUCAGGGUCAGUAACACUUUAAGCUUAUUAAAUGAAAUGAAAAUGAUGUUUAGACAUAAUUUCACAGAAUGUGUAUGUAUGUGACACUGAAGUUACACAUGAUGGCAAAUGCAGAUUCCCAUAUUUUGGUUAAAAAAAAACAAAAACAAAAUGGGUAACAAUCAACCGAUAUUCAUUUUUUAUCAGAAACACAUAACAUAAACAAACAAUUUGAAAGAAUACCUUAUACUGAGUUGCUUAAGAGUUCUUAGCAAGAUAUCUACUGAGCAGGACAUUGCACAGUUGAAAAAGGAACUUGUUUUAUUGUCAAAAACAUAACUCUAUAAGCAACUGCAACAGUAAAGUUCUCUGGAAUUGUUACUACGGCUGUUAUUGUUGUUGUUAUAACUGGCAAAUAAGCAAGAGUUCCUCAUAUUUAGACAAAAACAAAUUAUAUAAUAGGCAGUAAACAGAUACAGUGACUGAGAGUAAAUGCCGCUGCAGAAACAAGAGAGGGAGGCUUUCACUGUCAUUUACUUCUCUCAGUGUGCACACAUUUAUUUCUAGUGUUUUUCCCCUGGCUGAAUAAUUCCUUUUCAUAUUACCAGUUCUAGCCAGCUGUUUUUGGCAGUGAUGAUCAACUUCAAGAUAUACUUUCUUUGUUCCCAUAGGAAAACUUGUUUUGGACUCUGCACUGGAGUUCCACACAAUAAAUUAACAGCACAGAGGAACAACACAGGCAAUAAGAACACAGAACAAAAAAACAGUGGCACACACUGUGAA